CGUAGCCGCGGUAAUGCGAAGGGUGCAAGCGUUAAUCGGAAUUACUGGGCGUAAAGCGUGCGUAGGCGGUUUGUUAAGUCUGCUGUGAAAUCCCCGGGCUCAACCUGGGAAUGGCAGUGGAUACUGGCAAGCUAGAGUGUGUCAGAGGAUGGUGGAAUUCCCGGUGUAGCGGUGAAAUGCGUAGAGAUCGGGAGGAACAUCAGUGGCGAAGGCGGCCAUCUGGGACAACACUGACGCUGAGGCACGAAAGCGUGGGGAGCAAACAGGAUUAGAUACCCGUGUAGUCCCUGUCUCUUAUACA
rnacentral:rRNA from 1 species